rnacentral:rRNA from 1 species
UACCAGCACCCCGAGUGGUCGGGACGUUUAUUGGGCCUAAAGCAUCCGUAGCCGGUUCUACAAGUCUUCCGUUAAAUCCAGCUGCUUAACAGAUGGGCUGCGGAAGAUACUAUGGAGCUAGGAGGCGGGAGAGGCAAGCGGUACUCGAUGGGUAGGGGUAAAAUCCGUUGAUCCAUUGAAGACCACCAGUGGCGAAGGCGGCUCACUGGUCCGGUACUGACGCUGAGGUGCGAAAGCGUGGGGAGCAAACAGG